UGACCGUGGGGGGUGGGCGGCUCAUACAGGGACAAGAGGAUUCUGUUGUGUGUCUCUCGCUCCCUUAAAGAGAAGUGUGCUCUCCCCCUGUUAAGUUGUUCACUUGUGUGGGAGGAAGGGGAGGGGGGGGCGGUCUUGUCCCUUGGCACUUCUAAGACUAAGCACCUUAAACUGAACUAAUGCACUUUAUUAUUAAGAGGGGAUUUUUUUUGUUUUACGAACACAGAAUCAGUAUGCGUGUGGUGCGUGUGUGUGUGUGUGUGUGUGUGUGUGUGUGUUUGUACUGAGUCUACACGCGACACAGUACGCAUACGACUGUGAAUCUGAACUGGAAGGGUGAAAUGGGAGGGCGACGUCAGAGUUAGAGGGGACCUUUCUUUUGAAACCUUAUCAGAAAAACAAAUCCUUUCUUGAAAAGACAAACACUGUUUAUGUUGUUUUUUUGUUGUUUUUUUAAAGACAAUACCUUUAUAUAAAAAGCAAAGCUAUUACAAAAAAAAUUAUUAAAAAAACAACAAACUUGAAGAUUUGCACUUGCAUUGAGAGGAAAAAUAGAAAAAAAAACUGGGGUUAUGUAUAUAGAUGGGCAGUUUUUGUGAAUGUGUACAUGAGUGUGUGUGAAGGCAGUGUGUAUCAAACAUGCUAGUCUGCACAUUGGAUUUUUUUCCUAUUGCUUACCAAGAUGUAUGAAAACAUACCAGGCCAUUAUGUCAUUUUGUUCAAAUUAGAUGUUUUGUAUUCAUGAAUGUCUGUCCUCUUGUAUUUUGUCUGUGUGCGUGCGUGCGUGCGUGCGUGUGUGUGAGUGAGAGCAGGCAGUCGCACAACACAUCCUUUCUCAGCAGCUCUUCAUCCCCAGAUGUGUCGCUCAACCAUAAGUGGAGCGUGGUUCUGGCUUUGUGCUUGUUCAUACGUUUUUGGCUGCACUGUGUUUUGCUUUUGUUUUGUUUUUUGGGGUGCCUCUCCCACGCUCAGUUCUGUCUGCCACGGCCUCUGAGCCUCUAUGAGGUUCCCAGCAGACGGUUAUGAAGGUCUUCAGUGAGAAAUUGAGCGCGCUGUGUAUGAUUGUGCGUGUGCUUCUUUACUAAACCUAGAAGAGAAAAGUGUGUGCGCGUGUGUGCGCAUGCACAUCUGUGCCUAAGAACUCUGAAAAGGUGAACGGGAGGGAAUGUUCAGUGAACGGCCAUUGAGACAUUAAGGACUGUCUCUGAGAGUCGACUGUUGUGUGAAGCGCUCUUGCGCAGCCUGUCAAUAUUGCUAGUUUAGUACGGGGAUGAUGAUGUUGUGUGAUGAUUCUUUAGUCCAGUUUAGUUUUCCUGGGAUGUGAUCACCUUGUCUCGUCUGCUCUCUAACUCCUGUGUGAAAGGUGUUGAGUUUCUGGUUCUGUUCACAACAAUUAGCGUCAGCCUGUCUGUUUAUGCAUACAGAAGGGUGCGCGUAAUGUUAGGAUAUUGUUGUGUUACUUACUCAUUGUUGUUGAUAUUGAUAAUAGAUUUUUUUUAUAAAUAUAUCUAUAUUAUAAAUGAAAAUUUAUAUAUGAAUAUACGUAAACAUUAUAGACAAAGUGUAAAAAAUAAAAAAAAAAGUAUUUGGACUAAGUUUGAUGAGCACUUGGGGCUGCUAUUUUUUUUUUUUUUUUGAUUUUAUUGUAAUUUUUUGGGUUUGUUUCAUUACCGCCAUGUGAAGUGCGUUUGUGUUAUUUCUUUCUUAAGAAAACAUUGAAUGUAUUCCCCAAAAAAAGAAAAACCGUGAUGAUACUGGAUUUUUUUUCUUCAUAAAUUUUACAGAAAUGGAAACAAACAAAAAAAAAUCUGAGGUAGAAGGUGUAAGUGAACUCUUUCCUCUUUUCUUUUACACACAAAGGAGGAACAACUCUGGAAGGCUACAGUUGAACACACUGCCUCGCAUUCCUGCAAUUCGUACAAAAACAAUAUUAAUAUAAAAAAAAAUAAAGAACAGACUUCUAUUCCUUACUGGAGUUUUGGUUGUUUACAAAACACAGAUUUCUGUGGGUGCAGAAUAUUAUUUUGUGUGGCGUGGGGGCGCAGGGCGUAAGUGCGCUUCUGCAGUAUAUGCAUUCAGUGGCGUUCAUUUUUAGGCAAGGAUGAGGAGGAAUAAUACAAUGUGAGACUAGUUCCUCCCCCUUUGACCCUUUAGGGGGCGGGACUCUUUGGAACUGAUUGAACGUCAAGGAGCCCAGGAGAAAAUCAAAUCAAAGAUUGUCUUCUUUAUUCUCUCAGUUAUUUUUUUUUGCAGGACAGGUGGGUCUUUGUUAUUAUGUUGACUUCUGUUGACUUGUUUUUGUUUUGAAAUGCCUGUAUUUUAACGAGAAAAGGACUCUUAAGGUGUUACGGAGUGCAACAUUUAAUCAAAAAUCAGAGCACCGCUGAGGGGUUUUUGGUACUUGGAACAUGCAUAAAGGAAACAAUAUCAUCGCUUUAAUACAAACAGCAUUUGGAGAGGAAUUGUGGUUGUAACAUUUCUGUGCUCCACAAACAUAUAAAACAAAGAUGGACAAAACUGUGAGGAGUGGAUGAAAAUAAAGGAAAUUAAACAUUUUGUAAAACUAUACAUAAAAACACAUGAUGUUGACCUCAAAUCAUUGCAGUCGAUUGUACUGUGCAGGCAGAAUCUGUUCUUUUCUUUUGUUUGAACGGGGGUCUUGGGUUGUGCUUUGGGCAUUUGUUAACCCUGUGAUGAGGGGACGCCCGAGGGAACCCCUCAACCCUCCACCCUCAAGCAAUGCACUUUGGUUCGUUCUGAUUGUGAGGAUCCCACAGGGAGUUUGGGUGAAAAUAUGGAACUGAGUUAAUUACCGUCUAACUGAAAAUGAGAGAUUCAAACUGAAACGAAAGACUGAGGAACACACCGCCUUCCUUCCUAAUGUACAUAACCAUAUUUUUGUAUUGCCUUUAAAGAAAAAUAAUUUGGACAACUACAAAAGCUUGACUCACAAACAAACAGAUGAAGGACAUUUUAUGAUCCCUUGAUUUUGAGAGUGAAUAUUCCUUGAGGAAUUUCUUUUUUUUUUUUUUUUUUGUUUACUGGGGUACAUGAACUACUUGGACGUUCCCCGGACUUUGCCAGUUGCCCUAUCUAUCAUCAGGGUGGGGGAAAGGACUUAAAAUGGAUGGAACCUGUGAAUGCAGGGACUCCCGAGACUGAAUGAUCGUUGUCAUCAGUACGGAUGUGGCUGCUGAGCCCAGGGUAUUUGAACAACCUGCACCAGCCCACAGCAAAGGCGGAGGACAGACGGACUGGUCGAUGUACCCAGAGACCUGCUGUCCAGGUGCCCCUGAUGUCUGUCAUCUAGCCACUGCCUGGAAAGCAAGUAUAAUGUGCCUGCUAGGAGAACCGUCUUAUGGGAACCUCCCAGCUGCCCUCUGCUGGAAGCAGAGAAGAUCCCCAGUGUGGUCUUCCUCUCUGCCCUAACCAGGCAGGAACAACAUUACCUGCAAACGCAGAGGAACUGGAGCAAUGAAGACGAACACAAAACACACACCCACACCUUGGAGAUUUACAGACCGAUGGAUUCUGGUUAAGGAAUUGCAAUGACAUUUGCUCAAACGGACAGGCUCUUUUCUAGGACCACAUGUAUGCACUUAACUAAAAAGUAUUCGUCUUUACUCUCUCACACACACACACAAAUUGAGAUCCAGAAAGGUUAAUACCAUACACAUGUAAAUAAUGUAGAAGUGUUUUUUUAUUUUCUUGUUUCUUUUCCUUUCUCUGUUCAACCUGCCUUAACUGUACAGAUCCACCUAGUAUGACACACACACAAACACACACAUAAACACACCAACAUAUAUAUAUAAAUAACCAGUAAGAGAGGAAGUGAGCAGGAGAACCUAAGAACUACUAGCAUGCGAAGGGAAGAGGGACGAUGUGUUAAUGACUAACAGUACUGUUGUUUCCAUCUAGCGUAUACCACGCAUGUAAACUACAAAGUAGAACUGUAGGGCAAACCAUAAUAAUGAAGGCAGUUAUGAUAACGGUGACAGUUUGCCUUUUUACAAAGCGUGAGUGACACUGUUCAGAUAUCCUCUUUUUAAACGCCUAUACAUGUAGCUGAAGAUGCAGGCUGAGGAACAAGGAGUCCAGAGCCUAUAUUGUACGGAGCUGAGCUGACUGGGAGAGGCAUAUUGAAAUCAGUCCCUUAAAACAAACGACCUGACAUGUUACCUACCAUUAUGUAUCCAUUCGGUAGGAACUAUUAGGAAGCAAUGAGCAGGAGUUUGAGACUUGAUUUGAAAGGGAUAGUUAACCCAAAUGAACCCUGAUAGCAGCUGCAGGACAAGUUAUGACAGCACCAUAUUUUGGUUUUAUUUCCAGAUUGAUUUGAGCGACAAAUAUUGAAAUACAGGGCUACUUUUUAAAAUACAGGAGAUAUUUUUUGACUUGUUGUUUAGUAGAUUGUAAUAAAUAUUUGAGACAAUUAGCUCACUGUUUUCUGGCUCAGAUUAUUGUAUUGUAUUGGUGAUUUACUCACUCAGGUUUCAUCACAAGUUUGUUUGAGAGGCCGUUUUGUUAAGUAUUUAGACCAUCUAUGCAGUUGAUAAUGGAUUUGUCUAUUUGCAUUUGGGGAGAAAAAUAUAGUGAAAAAAUGCUGGUGAAAAAUGCUGGUGAAAUAUCAACAGGAAUUCCAAAUAUUUAUUGACAAAUGUAUGUAUGCCAAAUACAUUUACAAAUGUAUAUUAUCCAUUUUAAAAUGACAAAAGGAAAAUAUUUAACCCCCCCCCCCCC